UCAAUAAUUUAAAGUAAGCUUUAAUCAAAUUCAAAAGAAACCUUAAAGAAAUUACAAAAGAAACAAUAUGAAAUCUUAAAGGAGUUGAAAAUAAUUCCACAAUAAAUUUUAAAAGAAUCUCUAAGAAACCUUAAAAAAAUAUUAAAAUAACCACAAAUAUAUAUUAAAUAAAUUUCAAUUAAGCCCUAAAUUAACCCUAUUUGAAAUCCUAAUGGAUUUUAAUCAAAUUCUAAGCCAAAUCAUAAAUCCUAAGCAAAUCUUAAAUCCUAAAUUCUAAAUUUUAAAAAAAUCUUAAAUCCUAAAUCCUAAGCAAAUUCUAAUCUAAAUUAUAAACUUUAGUCUAAUCCUAAAUUCUAAUCAAAUUUUAAUCAAAUCCUAAAUCUUAAUCCAACUUUAAUCCUAAAUCAAAUUCAAACAAAA
rnacentral:lncRNA from 1 species